rnacentral:rRNA from 1 species
GAGAGUUUGAUCCUGGCUCAGGAUGAACGCUAGCUACAGGCUUAACACAUGCAAGUCGAGGGGAAACGAUAUUGGAAGCUUGCUUCCGAUAGGCGUCGACCGGCGCACGGGUGAGUAACGCGUAUCCAACCUGCCCAUCACUUGGGGAUAACCUUGCGAAAGUAAGACUAAUACCCAAUGACGUCUCUAGAAGACAUCUGAAAGAGAUUAAAGAUUUAUCGGUGAUGGAUGGGGAUGCGUCUGAUUAGCUUGUUGGCGGGGUAACGGCCCACCAAGGCGACGAUCAGUAGGGGUUCUGAGAGGAAGGUCCCCCACAUUGGAACUGAGACACGGUCCAAACUCCUACGGGAGGCAGCAGUGAGGAAUAUUGGUCAAUGGACGAGAGUCUGAACCAGCCAAGUAGCGUGCAGGAAGACGGCCCUAUGGGUUGUAAACUGCUUUUAUAAGGGAAUAAAGUGAGUCUCGUGAGACUUUUUGCAUGUACCUUAUGAAUAAGGACC